GGUGUGUGAGUGUGUGGGCGUGGAAGUCACCUGAUAACAACUACCACUGACGGGGCUCUAGAGGCUGUGGCCCCACAGCCUCUAGAGCCCCAUAAAACACCCAAAAAGAAGAAGAAGUCGUGUGCAGUGGGCGUGUCUUGAGAGGCGAGGCGGAGGAAAGUGUAGUCUGGCAUGUCUUGCUGACGGUCUUGGGGACAGUCCAGCGGUGAAGCCGAAAAGGCCCCGAUGCAGCGUGGUGGCAGCCUCCUGCUGUGCGCCGGGCUGUAAGGGCAGGAACACUGUGGACUGCAAGCUCACCCUCCACAUGUGUCAGGUUCCUGCACAGGUGAACGGAGGUGGAGUCACGGCUUUGGGGCGGCUUGCUAAAAAGGUCGGAUGAGCCACAAUGGGCGCAGGUCACAACAGGUCACCACAUGCAGGUCGGAGGUCACACAGCCAGCGUCCACAACCUGACCCCUAAGAGUGGAUACCAGCUGUCUGGAGUGGAUACAGAAGUGGAUUCCUUACAGCAUCGGAACUCCCGUCAAGAUCUCGGUCACCCUCGGAGUCUCGUCACUGGAAACUUCCCGAGGAGCUGCGUCGGCGCCUCACACUCCACCUCCAAGCUGACCCAGGACUGUCCCGAGCUGAGCUGCACGACAUAACCUAUGCUAGGAUCGAACCCGCCCGCAACCUCAAGAUCAACAAUUCCAUCGAUUGCAAGGCCAGUCCUCCCAUUGAUGGUGAGAGCCCUGCCCCUCUC